rnacentral:rRNA from 1 species
GUACGCUAUUCAGAGUUUGAUCCUGGCUCAGGAUGAACGCUGGCGGCGUGCUUAACACAUGCAAGUCGAACGAAGCACUUUUAAAUGAUUUCCUCGGAAAGAUUUUACUUGUGACUGAGUGGCGGACGGGUGAGUAACGCGUGGGUAACCUGCCUCAUACAGGGGGAUAACAGUUAGAAAUGACUGCUAAUACCGCAUAAGCGCACAGUACCGCAUGGUACAGUGUGAAAAACUCCGGUGGUAUGAGAUGGACCCGCGUCUGAUUAGCUAGUUGGCGGGGUAACGGCCCACCAAGGCGACGAUCAGUAGCCGACCUGAGAGGGUGACCGGCCACAUUGGGACUGAGACACGGCCCAA